rnacentral:rRNA from 1 species
CAGCAGCCACGGGAAUACAGAGGGUGCGAGCGUUAAUCGGAUUUACUGGGCGUAAAGCGUGCGUAGGCGGCUUCUUAAGUCGGAUGUGAAAUCCCUGAGCUUAACUUAGGAAUUGCAUUCGAUACUGGGAAGCUAGAGUAUGGGAGAGGAUGGUAGAAUUCCAGGUGUAGCGGUGAAAUGCGUAGAGAUCUGGAGGAAUACCGAUGGCGAAGGCAGCCAUCUGGCCUAAUACUGACGCUGAGGUACGAAAGCAUGGGGAGCAAACAGGAUUAGAUACCCGCGUAGUCCCUGUCUCUUAUAA